rnacentral:rRNA from 1 species
UACGAAGGGGGCUAGCGUUGCUCGGAAUCACUGGGCGUAAAGGGUGCGUAGGCGGGUCUUUAAGUCAGGGGUGAAAUCCUGGAGCUCAACUCCAGAACUGCCUUUGAUACUGAAGAUCUUGAGUUCGGGAGAGGUGAGUGGAACUGCGAGUGUAGAGGUGAAAAUUCGUAGAUAUUCGCAAGAACACCAGUGGCGAAGGCGGCUCACUGGCCCGAUACUGACGCUGAGGCACGAAAGCGUGGGUAGCAAACAGGG